UUGCUCGCUUUGGCAGCACAUAUGCUAAAAUUGGAACAAUACAGAGAAGAUAAGCAUGGCCCCUGUGCAAGGGUGACACACAAAUUUGUGAUGCAUUCCAUGUUUAA